CAAUGAAGGAAGCAUGGUAACGUGGACAUAAAUUGAAUUGGAUCUCUAGGUCUGCACUCUCUCAUGCCAUUUGGCUUUGAUUUGGGGGCAUGGUUCCGCAGCAAAACA